CCGUGCCAGCGCGUGCUGAUGCCUUCAGCAGCCGUUUCUCCUCCCUGGGGGGUGGCUCUUCCUUGUGGCCUCUGCAGUCUGCUCUCCAGGCCUUAAGACUUCAGCAGCACAUGAGGGGCCUCCAAGACCUUUUUGUGGGGAAAGGGCCUGGGAGCCCCCCAGGGUGCCCAAGUUUAGCUGAGGGAAAGAGGAUGCCAGCGUGACAACACGAGAGACAAGUAGUGCUGCACUAAAGCCCUCCCCAAGGCUCUGCCCAGCCCUACCUCAUGAACUUCUCCAUGACCUCCUCCACCCACAUCUGCAGUCUCAGGAAGCUGAUGCCGUAGUGCCACCAGAGGCGGAAGAGGUUCAGCAGGUACCAGUCUGUCUCCUCCAGCACGAAGUUCUCCCCAUUGAAGAUGGCGCUCCUG